UGCGUAGGGCGUGACGCAUGACGAUUUUGGGAAAGCUCACGCCCUUGAGCCGGGCCGUGCGGAUAUAUUGCGCGGUCAUGACCUCCGUCAUGGAGGCGCGGGUCAUCCGGGCGAUGUAGCCAAUCCCAUAAAGGGCGAUGGUCAGCACCGGCAGGAAGAAAUUCUCGAAAUUGGCGUCC
rnacentral:ncRNA from 1 species